CUACAGCAAACGAAAGAGUGUUUGAGUCUUUGUGUAGUUUGACUGGUUGGUGUUAGUUUUUAGUGUCAUUACUGUUUAAGAAAACUGCUGCUGCUGCUUGUGGUCUUGGCCUUCCCUCAGUGAACAAGGUGAGCUGAAGGUGCUGUUCUGAGAGCCAGAUGGUGACAAUGAAUACGUUCACUUGAGAGAGGAUGCUGGUGGAGUUUCUAGCUCGGAUCUUGUUGGAACUGUGUGGAAACCUUGGGCUUCUGUGCACAGAACGGCUUUUUAUAAGGCUGGUCAGCAGUGGUUCUGUUUGUGUCUGCGAGUUAAACUACACUGCAAUGCUCAGAGCUCCCCAGUUCCUGGCCAUCUGAAUGCACAGUGUGGAGUGACGGGCUUGGAGAACUGUUCAGAGGUAGCUCACUGGCUGGCUAAAAGGAUACCCACUGUGUGACCUGUUGAUGUGUACCUGACCCAGAGGUCCCCUGGAGGUCUGCUGUGUCCCAGCUCUGAGAAAAGGAGGCUAGUUCUGUCCUGAAAAAGGCAAGGUGAUCCAUCUGGUCAAACUGAGCUUCUGGAUAAGGUGGAAAUUACUGGUCAGUAAUCCUAAAGUUCUUGGACCAUAAUCUGCAUCUUCAAUGCUGAUCCAAUUAUUGCUCUUGUGGCCCAGGUAAAGGUGAGUUUGAAGGGGAGUAGAGAGGAGGUGCAAGUUGAGUUCUUUCAGUGAGGCCAGCCAGCAGUGGUGCGGAUUGUGUAUUAGAUUGUAGUACAGUGAUUGGUGCUCCCCAGUCCCUGGCCAUCUAAAUGCACAGUGUGGAGUGACGGGUUGCUGCAAGCUGUCCUUAAGUUUCCUGGGUGCCCAUGGAUCUUGAAGCAGGUGCAAGGGUAGUGUUGAGAAGGACACGGUCCCUGGAGCAGAGGUGGGUUUCACUCUAACCCCCAUCUUUGAUUUUUCCUUAACCUACACUCUAUAUCACUCUGUGACCCCUUUAAUUCUUAUUUGUGUAAGAACUUUUCUGAAGGAUGAAAAGGCACUUUUGGAGUAGGCCAAGUGUUAAGCUCUGGGAUAUCUUCUGGCGGUUUACAUAGUUUAAUGAGUUAAACAUUUUCUUUUUGGCUUUCUUCUGGGUUUGUUUCCUGCUUGGUUGAAGCUGUCGUGCACUGGACUGGCUGUCAUUCUGGCUCCAAGUCUGAAUUACUGCGUUGUAUGGGAUUUAUUUCAUGGGUGCACACAUGUAAGUCAAUGAAUUUGGAUACACUGCAUUAGAACUGUGACCCUGCACACCAGCAUCCUCCUCCACUGCAGACUCCUUACUGGUUGCCUCUCUGAGGAGACUGCACGUCAGCCAGGUUCUCUUGAUGGGUGUCGGCACGGGAACUGCUCUCUUCACAGGACAGGAACUUCACUGGAUCCUUUCCCUGUGGAAAGAGCCCUGGACUGGGGGUUUUCUCUGCUCUCUACGUUGUUUCUCUGUUGGUCUGUCCCGAACAGGUGCUGCAAUGUGAACAUCUUGGGAGUUUAGUACAAAACUGGAUCUGGGAUGAAGCUUCCUUACCGUUUCCAACAGGUGCAGAGAUCUCGGUCUAAAUCCUUCUCUAUUUCAGGGUAUCUGCUGUCAGAAGGGAUAAGCAGGCCUUGGGUCCAGAGGGAGGGACCUUUCAUCACUAGGCAUGUAGCACAGAUGGAGCCGGUACCUGGGAUCUUCCUGUGAAGAGCUGCUGGAGGUGUGGGGUGCUUGUUUCAAGACGGGGAGUCCUACUGGGGGUUGAGGAGCCAGUGUUUAUGGAUAGGCUCUGAUCCGUCUGGGUCGAGGGUGGGUUGAUCCGUUUUGGGAUGGAUGCACUGAAUUUGAACUUGUUGAAUUAAUCUUGUUUGCCAGUGACAACCGUCAUGGAGUAUUGCAACAGCAUAUUCCCUGGAAGUCUGCCAUGUCAAUGGAAGAACUAGACACUAGCUGAAGUCUCUUCAGUAACUGCAUGAAUCGCUGACAUCGGUAGUGCUGCAAUGGACAGUUUGUAGGAGUGACUUGAUCACAGCUUGCGGUCCACGUCUGAGAAGAGGUAACUGGUAUUGUGUGGAUAAGGCUGAGGUGAUGCUCAGCCAAGGUUGUCAAGCCUCUGCGUACAGUGGACAUUAAGCCAAUCAUCCUUUUGCAUGAAGCUCUUUCGUGAGUUUGGUCAGCAGUGAUGUUUCUUGAUCCCUGGCCAGCUGUAUGCAUGGUGUGGAGUGAUGGGCCUGGGGCUUCCUGUUCAGAGGAAGCUCACUGGCUGAUGGAGUCCCAGCUGUGACCUGGUGAUGCCCUACCGUGAGUAUUGGUGUUUUCCACAUUAAACAGUGGAGAGUGAAGACAUGCUGCAAGCUGUCCUUACAUUUCCUGGAUGCCCAUGUAUCUUGGAGCAGUUAUUGUCUAGGAGGACACGGUACCUGGAGCAGAGGUGAGUUUCGCUCUUCUCCCGUCUAACCUAGUCCAAACCACAUUUGAUGCUCUAUGAACAUUUAGUAUUGGUGAGUGAGUUUCACUUUUGGCUAUCUUUCAUGUUGCUUAGUCCAAAUUGAUCCAACGACCCCCUCAUUUGUAAGAAUUUUAUAAUGGAGGAAAAGGUACUUUUGGUGUAGGCUGAGUGUUAAACUCUUGGACCUCAUUGUCAACAUGCUAUCCAUUUAGAAGCGAGGUGUAAUUUUGGAUUUGUAUUGUCUGUCUUUUGGGUGAUGUUUGCUCCUUGAUUGGGUGAGGCACUGACGUGCACUUGACUGGCUGUCAUUCUGGCUCUCAAAGACUAAAUUAGUGCUUUUGUAUGUGAUUUAUUUCAUGGGUGCACACAUGUAAAUGAAUCACUUUAGUUCAAUUGUGACCUGAGUAAUUGGACUCCCGGCUGGUUACAGCUCUGAGGAGACAGCGUGUCAGCCAGGUUCUCUUGAUGGGUGUAAGCACAGGAACUGCACUUGCUCCCCUGUGGCACGACAGUGGACUGGGGGAUUUUCUUUGCUCUCUGUGGGGUGUUGUCCUGUUGGUUUGACUUGGACCCUGUUGGUAGCGAAAAUGCAGGGUUGACUGUUUCUAAGAAAGGUAGAGGACUUGGGUUAAAUCCUUCUCUCCGUUUCAGGCUCUCUGCUGCCAGUAGGGAUGAGAAGGCUUGUGCUCCUGAGGGAGGACCUUUCAUCUCCAGGGGUGGAGCGCAGAUGGGGCAGGUCUCUUUCGGUGAAGGUCUACUGGAGGAGUAGGGAGCUUGUUCCAAGUCUGAAUGUCAUUUACUUUAGAGGAUUCAGAUGACGGCUGUCAGACUGAGAACGGGGGAGCAGGGAGCAUUACUGCUGGUGAACUUGGGCUGCGCCGAGUGAACAAUGCGAGCUGAAGCCAGUAUCCAAGCUAAUCUCAAGGAAGUGAAGCAACAGCAUCUAAGUCCAGGGUGAGAACUGGCCUGGAGUAUUGCAACAAGAUCCAGAACUGUCAAAAUGUUAGUAUCAGUGUCCAAGAUGCCAUGCUGCAUGGUGGUCUGGCUCAGAAGAAAUGAGGCUAGCUUUGUCCUGAAUAAGGUGAGGUGAUCCACCUGCUUCAAGUUCUUAUCUACAGAAACUCCUGAGCCUUUGAAUAAGGUGGAAAUGGUGGGUAAACUCAACAUCCUACUGCUUGAUGUUCUUGAACAGUUACUGGUAUCUUUGGUGUGGAUAUGCAUUUGCUUUUGCCCUAAUCUGUGCCCUUUUGAGGCCUAGGUAUAGGUGGGUUUGACAGGGACAGGCUUGGUGAACCCUGCUCAGAGGAUGCUCACUGGAUACCAGCUGUGUGACCUAUUGGUAAGUAAUGCAGUCUUUGCAUUUCCUGGAUGCACGUGGAUCUUGGAGCAGGUGUAAUAGAAGGCAUGUCCCUGGAGCAGAGGUGAGUUUCACUCUUUUCCUGUCUAACCUUAUCCAUAGCAAACUUGAUGCUAUAUAACCAUUUAGUAUUUGCUUGUCAGAACUGUUUACUGAAGGACGAAAAGCUCCUUUUGGAGUAGGCUACAUGUUUAAGCUCUUGGACCUUUUGGUGGAUAACGUCACACUUUAACAUGCUGAACAUUUUACACUGUUUCUAGAGGUGAAGCUUUUUUCUGGGUUAUUUUUCCUCCCUGCUUGGUUGGGGUGUUUGUAUACUAAUGUACGCUUGACUGGCUGUCCAUUCUGUCUUCUAGAAGACAAUUACUGCUUUGCAUCUGAUUUAUUUCAUGGGUGCACACAUGUAAAUAAAUCAGUUUAGAUGCACAGUAGUAUAAUAGUGAUGUGGUGCACCAACAGCCUCCUCCACUGUAGACUCCUUGCUGGUUACAGCAUAUCGACCAGGUACUCGUGAUGGGUGUUGGCACAGGAACUGCUCUCCUCACAGGGGAGGAACUGCACUGGAUCCCUCCCCUGUGGCAAGAGCCCUGGACUGGGGGUUUUCUCUUGGCUCUCUGCAGGGUGUUUUCCUGUUUUAUCCUGGACAGAUGCUGCACCAUAACUACUUUACAAGUUUAGUACAAAACUGGAACUGGGAGUAAAUGUUCUUGUGGUUUUCCAAGUGCAGAGGAUUAUGCCAAAACUGUCUACUUGGUUUUAUGCUGCCGGAAGGGUUGACCAGACCUUUGCUCCCAGACGGAUGACCUUUCAUCACCAGGAGUGGAGUACAGAUGGGGCUGGUCUCUGGGAUCUUUAGCAAGAUCAGCUGGAGGAAUGGGGUGCUUGUUCAAAGGCUGAAAGUCAAUGGUAACAUCAGAGGAUCUAGUCAGAUGCAUCGGUUCCUCAUCUCAUGUGAGUGUGAUGCCAACCUGCAAGAUUGCCCAGCUAUGGGACAAGGAGCCUGUAUUUGGUCAGAUGAAGUUAAGGUGCUGUUUUCCCAGAUCCGUCUCGGUGGGAAGCAAGGAGCGUUACUGCUUGAGAAGUGGACUUGGGCUUCCCUCGGUGAACAAGGGGAGAUGCAGAGUGGAAUGUCAUGAUGGGUGCUCCCCAGUCCCUGCCCACCUGAAUGCAGACAUGGAACAGUAUUGGCUGUCUGAAAGGCAUCAGGAGUGUGAUCUAAUUCCUUUCUGUGAGUAUUGAAGUCCUGCAGAUGGAACACCAGAAAGCAAGGAGGGGUUUGAAGCUGCCCUUGCUGAAUCUGCUGGGCAGCUGUGGAUGUAGGAACACAUGCAAAGGUAGUCAUGCAGGACAAUGUCCCUCUAGCAUUGGCGAGUUGUCCUUUUAGUUUCUCUUCUUUGAUUUGGGAAAGUGUAGAGAUGGUCAUACUCAUAUAGAGGUAUAUGGUGUAACAAAAUGCUAUAUAACUAGCUCUCGGAUGGUAAGUAGUACAAAAAAGAAGCAAUGUGCAAAAUCAUGCAUCAACUAUGAAAUAAAGGAUCUAAAGUUAUGGGGAGUGAGUUUCUUGACAUGCGAGGUUGAGGUAGAUUUCAAUGUGUUUGAUCUUUAAGAGAAGGUACAGUGAGGGUUCAGAUCAUGGGUGAGUGGCUGGCAGUUUAAUAGUGUGGGGGUAAAAAUGGAGUUUGGUAAUAUGGGCCCGAGUGCUCCGGUACCGGUUUCUGGAUGGUAGAGGGUCAAAUGCUCUUCUUGCUUGGGUGCGUGGAGUCUUUGCUUGGAGCUUUCCUCAAGCACAGUUUGUCAUAAAUGGACUGGGCAGUUUUCACCACCUGCUGUAGGGCUUUGUGGUCGGCAAUACUGCAGAUGCAACCUGUCGGUGUACUUUCUGUUGUGCAUCUGUAUAAGUUGGCGAGGUUCUGGGGACAUCUUGGGCUUCUUCAACUCUUUGGAAAUACAGGCUGUUGUGCUUUCUUAAUCAGACAGGUGGACAAUGGACUUGGCACACACCCCUGGGGGACCCCAGUGUUCAGAGUUUGUGUGCUGGAGGUGUGGUUUCCAAGCCUGACAGCCUGGGGUCUGCCUGUCAAAGUCCCAAAUCCCAUUUGCAGAGGAUGGUAUUGAGACCCAGUGCACCGAGUUUCUUGUUUCUGGAAUGAUAAAAGCAGAUUGUGAGUUAGUGAAUGUUUUUUUUUAAUCCAGAUGAGAUGGGGCAGUGUGUAUGGCAAUGAAGACUGUCAUCUGUGGAUCUGUUGGUACGGGUGUAGUGUCGGGAAUGGUGUCCUCAAUGUGCCCCAUGACCAGCCCUUGAACCACUUUACCAUGACGGUUGUUGGUGCUACCGUGUGGUAGUCAUUAAGGCGUGUUACUGUGGUUUUCUUUGGUAUUGGGAUGAUGGGGCCAAGCUGUAGUCCCCACCUGCUUCAAGACAAGCACCAAGAUGUGCUGAAAAUGUCUGAAUACAUUUGGCAGUUUAUUGGUUUAGGUUCUGAGCAUGCGACUGGGAAUGAUAUUGGGCCUUGUGUGUGUUCACUUUUAGCAGAGAUCUCCUCCACAUUUACAGACAGCGAGAGCACCUGGUCGGUCGCGGAGGGUGCAGUUCUGUUGAGUGGAUUCAAACGGAGUGUAAAAGGUGUUGAGCUUGUUGUGCAGGGAGGCAUCAUGGGCAGGUGCACAGAUGUUCUUUCUUUUGUAGUCUAUACCGUCCCACAUGCGUGUUGGGUCAUGAGUGCUGAAGUGUUCUUCUAAUUUUUAAGUGUUUUUACGUGUUUAAUACCUUUCUUUAGAUUGAUAGCUGACUUGAGUUUUGAUUUAUUGCCUAAUUUGAAUGUUUCAUACCUUGUUUGGAUUAGGUUGUGAACCUCUAUGGUUUCGGUUUAGGAAAAAGUUAUUGUUUUGAGUGUUCCACUGCCAGCAAAUCUUGAUGUAGCUAGUGAAUAAUGCAUUUUCCUGUAUGUCUGUGUGUGAUCCCUGUGUGGCUGCCAUUCUGACUGCUAGUUUUGCUUGCCUGCACAGUUUACUGUAUGUGGGGAGGAGAGACUGAUCUGAGCAGUGUAUAGUAAUUCUAGUGCUUCCUUGUCAUUUGAACCGGGGGGGGGGGAAUGUAGAUGGUAAGUUGUAAAUGCCCUCAGCAGAUUAUUGAAAAUCUAGAGUGGCUGAGCAGUGUUCUGUGAUGGUAGAUGCGUUGUUGCACCACAUGUUAAUAAAUGCAUACAUCCUCGCCUCUGGUUUUACUGGACUCUGCAGUUCUGUCCAUGUGGAAGGCAGAAAACCCGUUUAGGUGCAUCGCCUAAUUCUGUCAGUCAUUUUGGUGAAUACAUGAGUCCAGAGUCACAGCUGAAAUUGACAACUAGUCAAAUUAGACAACUAGUAAAGCUACUGGCUCCUUUAUAACUUCCUUUUAUAACAAGUUUAUACAAAGUGUUUAAAUGCCUUUUUGAUUUUGGAUGCGGCUCAUGUUUGUGACUUUUGGUGGGCAAUUUAAGCUUCCUUCAGCUCAACAGACUAAAUGUGCAAAAUGUAACUUGGUUUAUUUUUCUUGGUAAUUGUUUUCUUUGUGAAGCAUUGUUUCACUGGCUGUCUUUCUGGCACUGAAAGAUUUUUCAUGGGUGCAUUUCAAAGUAAAUCACUGCAAUAUUAGAGACUUGGCACACCAGCAGACUCCUUGUCAUGUCAGCCAGGUUCUGUUGAUGGGUGGUGGCACAGGCACUGCACCUGAGCCCUGGACUGGGGGGUUUCCUGUUGGCUUGUCUUGAAUGAACAAAGUUUGCUGUGGAAAUGUUGUCUUGAAUGUUUCUAAAAAGUGCAGAGGAUGAAAUCUCUACCUGAGUAACUUGCGGAUGUGGUACAGUCUAGACUAGGAUUGCAGCUGGGGUUCACUGUAAGAAUUAAGUUGCCCUAAAACCAAAUUGUUUUCAUUGAAAGUAAGGUUGUCUGUUUUAGUGCAGAAAGGGGAGGGAUUAGUUUCCAGCUAUCUGGAAGUGGAUGAGUGCUGUGCUUUGUGAAAAGGGAGGGCUGCAUGGAAAACUGUAAUGCUUUUGUUAGAGGACUCGUUUGUUUUCUUUUAAACAAUUGCAACUGCUACAGUAACUUGUCUACAUGGAAUACAACUGUAAAUGGAUUUGGUCAUCCCUGUUUACCUGGGGUUUUGGACAGUAGAAUCUAAGCUAGAAGCUUUUCCCUCAAUUUUGAGGGAGGAGUUGAGCUGGUCACCUAUGUUUGCAGAUGGAUGCACCUGGGAUCUGAAGUACUUGAAUGCUUUUUGUACUGCAUGUGAAUUUCGGUGAGUUGGUGACGAUUAAGAUGGAGUUUUGAACUGAAACCAGAGAUUCUUUGGAUAUCUUCUAUUGAAAGAGCAGAACUACAAAGAAGCUGACGGUUGUCUUUUCGGUUACUGCCUGAAUUGCUCAACUUGUUUGCAGGAGUCACUGUCUUUUAACACAUGGGUACAUGACACCAUGCUGUUGACAGGGAGCUCAGUGGCUGGCUAAAACAAUACAUUCGGUUUGAUUUGAUGCAAGUAUUGAACUUUUGCGCUUUUAACAGUGGAGAGUGAAGAGAUGUUUUGCAGGUUAUCCUUAAAUUUCCUGGAUGCCUAUGGAUCUUGGAGCAGUUGCGAAGCAAGUAUCUAGGAGGAUUGUGUUCCUGGAGCAGUGGCUCUGCUGCCAGAUGAAGUGAGCAGGAUUGUGCUUCAGAGAGUGGAUCUUUCAUGACCAAAUGUGCAGCACAGAUGGGGUUGGGCUCUGGGAUGUUUCUGUGAAGAUCUGCCGGAGGAGUGGGGUGCAAGUUAAAAGCGGCAUCAGAGGAUCGAGACGGCUGAAGGCGUAGGCAGACAAGCAAAUGGAUCUAUGUCCUUGGUUCUCUGCUGUCUGGGGGGCUGACGAGGCCUUUGCUGCUGAGAUAGGACCUUUAACAGGAUGGGAGCCCAGAUGCAGCAGACUGAGAUCUGUCUGCGAAGAUUUGCCAGAAGACUCGUGGGCCCGUUUUUGAUUUCAGAAGACAAUGGCCACAGAGGAGCAUCAAAACUGCUGUACAAGUUCCUAAUGACAAGCGAAGAAUGAGGGGGAGGCCUUUUGUGGGGUGGAAAGAGGCUCAGGUGGUGCAUGAAGCUGUAAAUGGAUCUCUGCACUCGGGUCUUGUAAUGGGUGUUUGGCUCUUGGAUUGUAACUUUAGCACCUGAGCCACCUGGCAAGGAGGAGACAGUGACUUUCUGUGUGGGAAUGGAGAAAGUUUAGUUUUGUUACUUGGUAACCAUUUUGUAAAUUAUGGGCCACUUGAAAAGCAGAGUUUGAGAGUCUAAGGUCAAGCAAUGAUUUAUUUGCAUGGGUGCACACAUGUACAUAAAUCUUGCAUUGGCUUUAGAGUAAAACUCAAUUGAGCCCCUCAAGUAGAAAUGAAUAAAAGGAGUAGUUAUGCCAUCCACUCAUUUGGGGAAAAGAGACAUUGGUUUAGCUGAGAGUUGCUCUUUUUUCAUACCUACACAGAAAGCACUUUUGUCAUGGGGGGGAUUUGUGUUAUGUUUUGUGGAUUUGUAAGUACUUUGCUAGACAAUGUUCUCCUGUAUUGAUUGUAUUUGUUUGUAUGGCAUCAUAAUAAAACUUGCUAAAUGUA